rnacentral:rRNA from 1 species
UACGUAGGGGGCAAGCGUUGUCCGGAAUCAUUGGGCGUAAAGAGCGUGUAGGCGGUCGUUCAAGUCGCGUGUGAAAGCCCCCGGCUCAACUGGGGAGGGUCACGCGAUACUGCUCGACUUGAAGGCAGGAGAGGGAAGUGGAAUUCCCGGUGUAGUGGUGAAAUGCGUAGAUAUCGGGAGGAACACCAGUGGCGAAGGCGACUUCCUGGCCUGUUCUUGACGCUGAGGCGCGAAAGCUAGGGUAGCAAACGGG